GGUAUUAUUGAAUCCGGUAUAUUACCUUACUAACCUUACAUCAUUUACUGUGUUACACAACAUUAACAAACCGUAAACCAUUAGGAGACAAGUAAUAAAGUAAAUAUAUAAAUGUAAUCGGUCAUGUCUAGUUCAGUAAACGAAUAUGGAGUGACAAAUGUUAGAUAGAUAGAUAGAUAGAUAGAUAGAUAGGGUGCCAAUAAUUGUAGAGUUGGGUAGAUAGAUAGAUAGAUAGAUAGAUAGAUAGAUAGAUAGAUAGAUAGAUAGAUAGAUAGAUAGAUAGAGUGCCAAUAAUUGUAGAGAUAGAUAGAUAGAUAGAUAGAUAGAUAGAUAGAGUGCCAAUAAUUGUAGAGAUAGAUAGAUAGAUAGAUAGAUAGAUAGAUAGAUAGAUAGAUAGAUAGAGUGCCAAUAAUUGUAGAGAUAGAUAGAUAGAUAGGGUGCCAAUAAUUGUAGAGAUAGAUAGAUAGAUAGAUAGAUAGAUAGAUAGAGUGCCAAUAAUUGUAGAGAUAGAUAGAUAGAUAGAUAGAUAGAUAGAGUGCCAAUAAUUGUAGAGAUAGAUAGAUAGAUAGGGUGCCAAUAAUUGUAGAGUUGGGUAGAUAGAUAGAUAGAUAGAUAGAUAGAUAGAUAGAUAGAUAGGGUGCCAAUAAUUGUAGAGUUGGGUAGAUAGAUAGAUAGAUAGAUAGAUAGAUAGAGUCCCAAUAAUUGUAGAGAUAGAUAGAUAGAUAGAUAGAUAGAUGGAUAGAUGGAUAGAUAGAUAGAUAGACAGACAGAUAGACAUAUAGAUAGAUAAUGUCAGCAGGUCUUUUCCCCGAUCAUGAACUGUCCAAUUUCAUUGACUCUGUCUUCACUGUAGCCUCAGAUUCCUGUUCCUGGCUGUCAGGAGUGGACCCUGAUAUGGUUUUCUGCUGUUAGAGCCCAUCCAUCCCCAGCUUCUACAUGUUUUGAGAUGUUUUUCUGCUCACCACGGUUCUAAAGAGUGAUUAUUUGAGCCUUCCUGUCAGCUCAAACCAGUCUGGCCAUUCUCCUCUGACGCUCUCUCAUCUUUACUAAAAUGUUUCCUUACUGUCACUCGCUGGAUGUUUUUUACUUUUCUGCACCAUUCUGUAAGUGUAAACUCUUUAACAGAGACUGCUUUGUGCAAAAAUCCCAUUUUUCCCCUCCAUUUUGAUGUUUGAUGAACAUUAACCGAAGCUGUAUGUGCAUGAUCUUAUGCAUUGCGCUGCUGCCACAUGAUUGGCUGACUGGAUAAUUAGAUAAUACUAUAUACUACAUUACUGAUGACGUAGAUUGCUUUCCUCCAAUGGUAAUAUUUAGCGUUUUAAGGCUGAGCUAACCUUUUGUGUGUUGACUCACUUGUACAGCAGGUUAUACAAUAACUAGUUACGCUUGGCCUGAGCACAGUUAUCUUUGAGAGUUGACUUUUGACCAACUUUGAGACGUAAAAUCAACACACACGCUUACGUGCUGUAUAUACAUAGAGACAGGUGACAAGCUAAAAAAAGGUAUAAACCAUC
ensembl:lncRNA